rnacentral:lncRNA from 1 species
UUCCCACCUCAGCCUUCUGAGUAGCUGGGACCACAGGCACAUGCCACCAUGCCCAGCUAAUUUUUUAUUUUUAUUAUUUUGUAGACACGGGUUCUCACUGUGUUGCCCAGGCUAGUCUUCAACUCCUGGGCUCAAGUGAUACUCACCUCAGCCUCCCAAAGUGAUGGAAUUACAGGCGUGAGCCACUGCGCUCAGCUCAUGUGAUUUCUUAGCCUCCUCCCGCACUAACUCUGGGCUUGGCUUUGUGAGUUGUUUUGGCUGAUGGGACUUUAGCAAAUGUGAUGCAAGCAGAAGUUUGAAAAGUGCUCAUUCAUCGGAGUUUGCCUUCUCUGGCUCUUUGCUGGGACUCCUUCUAGCACCAUAUGCAAAAAGCUGAGCCUAGCCUGUUUGAAGAUGAGAACCUACAUGGAAAGAGAGGUCCACCUGUCAUUGCUGACUCACCUGAGGUCCCAGACAUCUAAGCAAGCCCAGCCAACAUGAUGUGAUACAGAAACGCACCCACCCAACUAUGUCUAGCAUAAAUGUUCU